rfam:Larimichthys crocea isolate SSNF unplaced genomic scaffold scaffold124, whole genome shotgun sequence.
AAAAAGGCUUUUUUAAAAACCACACAAUAUUCCUGUAAAUGAGACA